rnacentral:rRNA from 1 species
GACGAACGCUGGCGGCGUGCUUAACACAUGCAAGUCGAACGGUGAACCUCUUCGGAGGGGAUCAGUGGCGAACGGGUGAGUAACACGUGGGCAACAUGCCCCCGGCUCUGGGAUAACUCCAAGAAAUUGGGGCUAAUACCGGAUGUUCACCGCUUCCCGCAUGGGUGGUGGUGGAAAGGGUUUCCGGCUGGGGAUGGGCCCGCGGCCUAUCAGCUUGUUGGUGGGGUAGUGGCCUACCAAGGCGACGACGGGUAGCCGGCCUGAGAGGGUGACCGGCCACACUGGGACUGAGACACGGCCCAGACUCCUACGGGAGGCAGCAGUGGGGAAUAUUGCGCAAUGGGCGGAAGCCUGACGCAGCGACGCCGCGUGGGGGAUGACGGCCUUCGGGUUGUAAACCUCUUUCAGCAGGGACGAAGCGCAAGUGACGGUACCUGCAGAAGAAGCACCGGCCAACUACGUG